rnacentral:rRNA from 1 species
CCUACGGGAGGCAGCAGUGAGGAAUAUUGGUCAAUGGGCGCGAGCCUGAACCAGCCAAGUCGCGUGAGGGAUGGCGGUCCUACGGAGUGUAAACCUCUUUGGCCGGGGAGAAAACGUGCGUUCGUUAACGCGCCUCGAGAGUACCCGGAGACAAAGCCGCGGCUAACUCCGUGCCAGGAGCCGCGGUAAAACGGGGGGUGCGAGCGUUAUGCGGAUUUAGUGGGUUUAAAGGGUGCAUAGUCGGGAUGCCGAGUCAGCGGUAAAAAUGCGGGGCUCAACGCCGUCGAGCCGUUGAAACUGGCGUGCUUGAGUGGGCGAGAAGUAGGCGGAAUGCGUGGUGUAGCGGUGCAAUGCAUAGAUAUCACGCAGAACUCCGAUUGCGAAGGCAGCAUACCGGCGCCCGACUGACGCUGAGGCACGAAAGCGUGGGUAUCGAACAGGAUUAGAUACCCUAGUAGUC